CAAGAUGAGAUUUCCCAUGGCGUAAGCCAGUAAGACCCCUUAGAGAUGAUGAGGUUGAUAGGUCAGAAGUGGAAGCGUGGCGACACGUGGAGCGGACUGAUACUAAUCGGUCGAGGACUUAUCCUA
rnacentral:rRNA from 1 species